rnacentral:rRNA from 1 species
GACGAACCGUGCGAGCGUUGUCCGGAAUCAUUGGGCGUAAAGCGCGUGUAGGCGGCCCGGUAAGUCCGCUGUGAAAGUCCAGGGCUCAACCCUGGAAUGCCGGUGGAUACUGUCGGGCUCGAGUCCGGAAGAGGCGAGUGGAAUUCCUGGUGUAGCGGUGAAAUGCGCAGAUAUCAGGAGGAACACCAAUGGCGAAGGCAGCUCGCUGGGACGGUACUGACGCUGAGACGCGAAAGCGUGGGGAGCAAACAGG